UACAGAGGUCCCAAGCGUUGUUCGGAUUCACUGGGCGUAAAGGGUGCGUAGGCGGUCGGGUAAGUCUGACGUGAAAUCUUCAAGCUCAACUUGGAAACUGCGUCGGAUACUAUUCGGCUCGAGGAAUGGAGGGGAGACUGGAAUUCUCGGUGUAGCAGUGAAAUGCGUAGAUAUCGAGAGGAACACCAGUGGCGAAGGCGAGUCUCUGGACAUUUCCUGACGCUGAGGCACGAAAGCCAGGGGAGCAAAACGGG
rnacentral:rRNA from 1 species